GACGAUGAUGAUGAUAAUGAUAAUGAUAAAAACGAUGAUGACGAUGAUGAUGAUGAAGACAAGAAAAAAAAACAGAAUUAUAAAAAACAUAAAAAAAGACGAUAUAUAUAUAUAUAUAUAUACAACAUACGAUUGUUUAUCGUAAGAGAUUUUUGCGUCGGAAAAAACAUUUUCCUUGGGAUGAUUUUUGAAAUUCGAUUACGUCGUUCGUAUUAGUAUCGUGUUCAAAUGCAAAUGAAAAGAUCUUAGUAUUGUACAUUUCUCUUGUAAAUUAUAUCCGAUCUAUCGUACCUGAACGCGCUACAUUUUACUGUGUACGUGCGACACAUACAUACAUACAUGCAUACAAUACACAAUAUACAUACAAACACAUAUCCGGUUGUUUGCGAAGAAAAAGAAAAACAAAAGAAAAGAAGUAAAAUAAGUAAUUACAAAAAAGAAAAAAAAUAUGAUAAAAUAAAAGAAAAUAUCUCUAGCGAUUCUUUACGAAUCCGAACGAAGAAACAAGAUGUACAUUGUCUGAUUCUCAACGUCGCAAUAUCAUUAACCGGAAAAUAAAAAAAAAAAAAAAAAAAUAAGAAAAUAAGAAAAAUCAUUGUUAUGCGAACGUGUGUGCAGUUAAAGAAAAAAAAAACUAUUCGCGAGUUCGAAUUAUACAUAUUUUGGGUUUAGGCAAAUUUAAUAUGAAAAACGACGAAGAAGAAAUAGAUGGACAACAACAACAACAACAACAAAAUAAAAAUAAAAAUAAAAAUAAAAAUAAAAAUAAAAAUAAAAAUAAAAAUAGGUUACUACAUGCAGGCAUGUAUUAUUAGCUUUGAAUUUUAGUGUAAUAAUAAUAAUAAUAAUAAUAUGAAUUAUGCGAUACAUAUAUGUACGUUGUACAUAUACAUAUAUAUAUGAUAUGAUAUGAUAUGAUAUAAUAUGAUAUGAUAUGAUAUAUGAUAUAACAUAUAAGUAUGUAGUUUAUAAUGAUAGGACACGAACAAAAUGUAUCUCGUGUUACGUGCCGUCCUGAAGUGUCGUCUAAUGAUGUGUUUCGAUCGAGAAGAAAUGGGGAAAUGCAAUGAAAAACAAUAUAUCAAUUGAUUGACAUAUGUUGGCACAUUGAAGAAAAGAAAGAAAAAAGAAAUGGAAAUUCGUAUAUUUGAAAUCGUAAGACAUUUAAAAAAAUGAAAAAAAAUGAAAAAAAAAAAAAAAAAAAAAAAGGAACUACUUCGAUCAAGCGUUAUAUUGUUCAACUCUAAAUAAAUAAAUAAAUUGAAAUUAGAACGAUAAGUAGCUACGUUAGGUGGGAGUCAAUCGGUUGCAAGUUAUGAAGAUCUAAGUUCGAGUAGUUUCAGUUCAGCGAGCAGAGCAUCAUUAGAUGCAAGAAGUUCACCGACUCCUUCUUAUGGUGCCGAAAAUAUGAUGGUAUUCCCUGGGG